UUUUUCCCUCCUCUCACGACGCUUUUAUUCUGAAGGACGCUUUUAUUCUGAAGGUUUCUGACCAUAGGAGCUGGAAGUACAGAACUUGCUAGCAGAGCAGAUCCUUGCUGUUGGUUUGACAGCGUCACCAAGUCACUUUAUACACCCCAACCAAGGAGAUGUCCCACAUACCUAGCCGUGAUCCGGCCUUCAUCGAGGUCAUCAACAAAAACAUGCGCGUCCCGGAGCGCCUGAGUGUCGGCCCGAGACGGCAGGAGGAGGAAGGGGAGGACGCCGUGAGGUGGCCAGAAGAGCCCCCACCUGUUUACACCAUGCAGGUCCCUGACAGGCUGACAUACACAGAAGCCCCUGACAUGAGCCCAAGACCUCUGUUCAGCCCGUCUAGACCAAUAAUCUGCAGCCCCGUGGGUCUAGAACCAUGCUGGGAGAGUCCAUCUGGAGAGGCCUUUUACAGAGAAGCGCUACAGAGUCCCAUAAGGAGAUCUUACAGCGACCAAAGCUUUGGCAGGACGCCGCCUGGCACACCAACCCGGCUGAAACAGGCGCUGGCUCUGCCCAGACACCCAUCGAGCUCCCGUAGUGGAGGUUCAGGCCGUCCUGUCCGCCAGUGCAGCUCCGCUCCUCUUUCCGCCCAGACCGCAGACCCGCAGACCCAGGCCGAGCCUUUCCCUGCCGCCCCCUUCGCCUGCCUGUCUCCACAGUCCGUGCUGCAGGCAGCCAGGCAGCUGGGCCUGCAGGCCUCACAGCGCCUCCUGAAGGCGGUCAGCCAGAAAUACAGGUUUAACAGCCAAGAGAAGCCGCCACCAGUGAGAGUCGUUCCUGAGGUCCCUCCUUCAGCACGUGUGGAGCACAGCCAGAAAAGGGCGAUGGAGAACUGGAGCCCAGAGGAGGAGGGAGGAGCUGCAGUUGAGUUCAUUAUCCUCAGGAGACAGGUAGGCAGUGGACAAGCCUCAUACUUUGUUUCUUUUUCUGUUACUUUUCCAGCCUCUGUCUCUCCAGCCUCUGUCCGUCUCUGUCUCGUCUGUGCAGGUGAUGAAAAUGAGCCGCCGGCUGGCAUCACUCGAGAGGCACAGCGCCGAGCGGAGGAAUACCGAAGUCAUCCUGUUCUCCCUGCUGUUCUCUGCCUGCCUGCUCAACGCCUGGCUGUGGAUCCGCAGAUAACACACACCCACCGACGUGCACCGAUGAGCCCAAACACUAUGACCACCCCCUGCCUGAUAUGCCAAAACAGUUGCUGUGCACUGAGGCGUGGACUCUACAGGACGUUGGGGAGGUGGAGCUGCUGUGGGUCAGACUUUGUCCCGUUAUGAGAUCAAUCCGUUAUUGACUUCAUCAGUGAGUGGCCAUAAUGUUUUGACCCAUCUGUGCACGCACAUUUUACAUUUGUUUGACUAAACUUGUGAGCAUCCACAGUCAUCCCUCACCCAGGAACGCUCGUUGAUUGGAGAACGGUGGAUGUGCAGGUGUCUCAUACUAUCAGCCCUGCUCUCCCCCUCCUCAGGUCAGGCCUAAUGUGGGACUGUGCCCUGGAUCCUGAUCCCAGAAAGGCUGAAAAGAGCUCAGUCAGUAAAAAAUAUUCUUACUUCAAAUGUCAAAACGUGGGUUCUCUCAAGAGCAGCCAAACAAGUGUAUACACACACAUACAAAUACACGUGUAGUACUUGGAAACCCUAGUACUAGGCCUCAUACUGUGUACAGUUGCUGUACUGUCAGUGUGUACAUGUAUAAUAAGUAAAACGUAGUGUGUGUUGAUGGAUUAACGCUGUGUGUAUAGUUUUGGAUGAAGGAGUGAGUACACAGUUUGUAAGGCUGAUCCCACUGUUUGGACUAUUACAGAGGAAUGUAGAGACAUUCAUCUGGAUGGAUGAUGCCUGCAGUGUGUGUGUGUGUGUGUGUGUUCUAGUGGCACAUUUGACUGAUGGACAUCCUGCAGUUCUCGUGUGACUCAGGUUUGGACUCAGACACUUAAGAUGCUGUUUGU